GGGGCUGCAUAGUAUCGACAGAAGUUCUUUGAUAAAUAUCGCAAGUCCGAUUAGCCUAACUUCUCGGUUAAAAAAGUAAGGCAAACCAUAAAUGCCAAUUCGUUGGUAAGCAGAAUCAAGAACGCUUUUGCGUUCUCGCCUGCUUUGGCUAUUGCUUAAUAAGCGAUUGCCCAUCCGUCCUGCAAUGUCUGUGCGCAGAUCACGGGUGUUAUAUUAUCAGACUCACUUUAGCUGACGCCUGACAGCCAAAGGAAAUUUAAGGCUCACCUUAUGGCGCUUUGGUCUGCUUCUAUGUCAUAAGGAAAAUCUCAAAGCGGUCUAAGCUUGUAGGCAUAUUUAUCGAAAAUUUUUGGACGGGAGUGCAAAUCUCCCCAGCUCCACCA
rnacentral:tmRNA from 2 species